rnacentral:rRNA from 1 species
AACGAACGCUGGCGGCGUGCUUAACACAUGCAAGUCGAACGGUGAAGGGACCGGUUUUUGCUGGUGCUGGAUGAGUGACGAACGGGUGAGUAACACGUACGUAACCUGCCCCCUUCUUCUGGCUAACCGCAUGAAAGUGUGGCUAAUACGGGAUCUUCUGCGCCUGCUGCAUGGUGGGUGUGGGAAAGAUUUUGUUUCUGUGGGGGAUGGGCUCGCGGCCUAUCAGGUUGUUGGUGGGGUGAUGGCCUACCAAGGCGGUGACGGGUAGCCGGCCUGCGAGGGUGGACGGUCACACGGGGAAGGAGACACGGCCAAGACUCCUACGGGAGGCAGUAGUGGGGAAUAGUGCACAAUGGGCGCAAGCCUGAUGCAGCGACGCCGCGUGAGGGAUGGAGGCCUGCGGGUUGUAAACCUCUGUCGCCAGUGAAGCAGGCCUGUCCCUUUUGUGGGGGGGUUGACGGUAGCUGGAUAAGAAGCGCCGGCUAACUACGUG